UUUGGGAAAUGAUGCCAACAUAAAAACAGAUUAUCAGAGGCUCCAGCUUUGCUGAGUAUUUUAAUUUGCUCGUCAGUCUGAUCCCAAA